UAGCAGCGUCGUUCUUGCUGGCGA
rnacentral:piRNA from 1 species